UUGAGGGGGAGCUUACGUAGUUGUACUCUUUUUACCUUACUAUGGUUUUUCCCAUUGGGUUUUCCUGGAAAGGUUUUUAACAAGGCAACAAAGACGUUAAGCGAGAAUGGAUAGUGACACCGGUCCCCAAGGGAGAGUGUUAUGAAAGCAGCCGAUUAUGUUGAAAAUAUAAAAGAUGUGGGGUCCGAUGUACUAUUUGUACAGUGAAUCCUACUUUUUAACUUCUAUAUAAACGAUCGAGUUCGAUCGUUUAUAACUCGCAUCUCACAAUCUUUUUUCUCUCUAUAAUAAACUCUCUCUAUAUCAGUGUUAUUUCUUUCUACGGGUAUAAAAUUUUGCCCUUAUUUAAAUUCCUACGAUACAAUAAAAUUCUGAUUCUUUUCAUAACAGAAUUUU
rnacentral:lncRNA from 1 species